rnacentral:miRNA from 1 species
UAUAAAACAAAUAAUGAAUGUUUUUAUUCGUGCAAUGGUAAGAAUAUUUUCAUUCGGUGAAAGAUGGAAUGUUCCAUUCAACUCGGCUGUCGCCUCAUUGGAAUGGAACAUUCCAUCUUUCACCUCAUGAAAAUAUAUUCUUACCAUUGCACUCAUAAACAUUCAUUAUUUGUAUAAUA